rnacentral:lncRNA from 1 species
UGAAGUGCAAAGGUGUUACUUGGGCGAAUUCACUCAGCAAGGAGGCAUUAGGCCAGACGUGAGGAGGAAGUCUCCAACUCUGAAUCUUGCACAAUUACCACUAAACUGCACAACUUUGGUCUUAAAACUAAUGAGACAAUCAGAAGAAAAAUGCCUGCCUCUCUAGACCGUGAUAUCAAUGGACCCCCAAGAUCUUUCCACACUAACAUGUGACUGCGUAAAGAAGACAAUGCGUUAUUUGCAAGGAAGAUGACAGCAUCAACAAUCUUAUUGACUGAGUGAAAAUGCUAAUAUUAUAUGCCAGUCACACUGCUAAACAAUCUUUAUCAGAAGCCUAUGUAAGAGGUAGUAUUUUAAGCUCAUUUCACAGAAGAUAAUGAGGCCAGGAAUGUUCAUUAACUUGUCCAAAGUCACACAGCAGGUAGCCGCGGGUGUGAAGUCCGACACACUCUCUCUGAGAUCCAGCACCUAGUCCAGACCUCUGUAUGGACCCCAUGCCCCUCUUUUCCUGAGACCAACAGGAGAACAUGCCCAGUGGCACAAAACUCGACAUGCUGCAGAGGGAAAAUCUCUAUAUUUCACCAGACAAUCCCAACAAUCUAAGAAGCUUCCCUAACUGUGGAAAAAAAUAAAUGAUCUCAAUAUGAUGAAACAUAAUGUAUAAACCUGCAACCUGCAAUUGUUCCGGCUACCAUUCAAGUACAAAUAAUCGCUUGGCUGGAAUUUGGAAGAGAGGUCAAGGUGGCCUACCUCAAAUUUGCUUUAAAUUGAGAACAGAAUUAAAAGAUUCUUUU